rnacentral:rRNA from 1 species
AAACCUGAACAAGCCUGAUCCCGUCUGACCUCGGAAGCUAAGCAGAGUUGGGCCUGAUUAGUACUUGGACGGGAGACCACCUAAGAAGACCAGGU